UUUCUCUCUCUAUUUUUUAUGUGACUUUUAAAGCUUCCAAGUUCCAAUAGGACUUGAAAGUUCAACAACCUGGCUUCCAAUUUCCAUAACCUCACUUCUUCUCCACGUGAGAUGUGAGGUGCAGACUUUAUUCAAACCCACCCCCCCUCUUCUUGCGAGAUGGCCUUCAGCAGAAAUUCCCAUUUUUUUCUUGGCUCCAAUACACAUGGUCUUCCUCCAGAAGCAAGAAUCAAUUCCGAUAUACUUGGGCUUCCGUGGAUUCCGUAUAUUUCGAACCUCCAUUUGGAUUGGGUAACCGUUGAUUUCCAAGUGAGAAUGGGUAAGGUCAUAAACUCUUUCAUUUUUUCGCUGCAUCGUUCUUUCGCUCUUCACCACCUUGCUUGUGCUCCUUUUGUGGCUCGAAUUCAAAGCGAAGGAGGAAGAAGAUAACCAGCAGAAGUUUCUGUCAUCAGUAUUUCUUUGAUUGGUUGUUGGACAAACUAUUUUGCAAUACUUCGAAAACAAAUGUUGAUUUAUGGCUCCAAAGGUUAGAAUUUGCACUCUGAAAUUUGUAGUAACGCACUCAUAGUAUCUGCUGUAUUUUGAAUGGGUUUUUGAUGUACUAGUGUGUAAUUAUCAUUCACUGGUAUUUCUGUUUCCACAUAGAGGAUUAUUUGACUGGUCUUGGCAGUGGGCAUUUGGACACCCUUUUUGUGUUCCCGUUCAUGUUUUGUCUUCUAUACUUGCCCUCCUUUCUCAUUAACACUUGUACAAAGUGAUGUUUUUCCCAAAAUCUUUUGUAGCUUUGGUUUGUCUUCUAGUUCUUUGGGUGUUAAUACAAAGGUUGCCAUGUGAAUGAUUUUCCCAAAUAAUUUGGGAAGUUUGACAGCAAGCUUUUCCUUCUUUGUAAACUUGGGAUAGCUUGAACUCACUUCAUGUGAUAAAGAUUAAUUUGGGAAUUUUGACAGGCAAGCUUUUCAUUUUCUAUAAAUUUGGGACGGCUUGAACUUCUUUUUUUUUUUAGUCCAAUCUUCACGUGGCAGAGAAGCAGGUUUCUUUUAGUUGUCCAUUUAAGGAUUGGGAAAUUUCCUUUCUUUCCUUUUUGUCUUGUAGCAUCUGUUGGUUUUAUUUCAAUGCCUUUGGUCAAUAUUUUUGACCCAAUGUUUGAUCAAAAUGAUAGCCACACUUAAGUCCUUCGAAUGACGUCUUCUUCCUUUCCUUUACUUGUCUUUAUCAAAAGUUGAAUUGGGGGACUUCCUUUUGUGGAAUUUAGACCAAACAUGAGUCGGUCAAGGGAAUAAAGGUGCUUUUGGCUUCUUUUCCUUUGCAAACCAUCUUUUCCAUUUUUUUUUUCUUAUCUUUCGAAUUCUCGACGCAAAAGACUUUGGGUGGGACUCUUGAACAAUUAAGUUUUCUUUUCCCUUUCUCUGGAGUAAUCUUUUAAGUUUAGGACCAGCAACUAACCACCUUCUUGGAGCAUAUUGUUCUACUUUUGCCAACAAGCUCCUGCACUGUUGUUGAUUGAAUGAAAAAUAGGUUGUGAGCGAUAUUUGAAGUCGAAACUUGUUCUUUUUUUUUAUCAAAUCCAUUGCUUGCCGUGACACUGAUUGCUGCUUUCUUUCUUGGCAUGGACGUCGAACAUGGAUCUCUUUAGAUUUGAUCGGAAUUUCACGGGGUGGUUUAGGCCACCCCGAAGAAAUUCAUGGGAUUCUGGGAAUUAUUUCUGCUGCUGUCAGUGGGGAGUCGGUGAGUUGUUCAGAGUCUCCACCUCCAUUUGUUUGGUGAAGGAGAAUGCCAAGCAAGGAGACAAAAGCCAAAAAAAAAAAGGCUAAAAGAGAGUUUAGAGAAAAAGAACAUCAUUUGCCGUGGAUCUUGGCUUGUUGUUCCCCCUUUUUUUUAUUUUUUUUAUUUGUUUCUCUGCGGUGGUCUCUGCUGUGAUGUUUUUUUGUUCUUUCUGCAACAUAACAUCAAACAAGAGAAAAAGAAUAAUUUUAACAGAACUUGUUUCAUACCUGGUGAUGAAUAUUCUUCUUUGGUUCUUGACUCGAAAGCACGAAUGGUUGAAUUCCUUGUUCACUUUUCUGGCAGCACUUCGUUGCUUUUGGUGUUUCUCUCAAAGUUUCUCUAUUUUUCUGCAUAGUAUCCCCUCUCUGUUUCUGUCUCUGUUGCUGCAGCUGAUGCCUAUUUAUAGGCAUCCUGGGAAGGCUCUAGAAUUUUUUUAUGUGGGGAAGAUGGAGGCCAUGUUUUCUGCCACUUUCUUUUAACCUCCUCCACGUUCUUUUGUUGCAGAAAAGUGGGGAGCCCCCCUUUUGUAGGAAGAAAUGCAUAUUUUAUUUAUUUAUUUACGGAUGUUGGUUUGUCUGUAAAGCCCAUCCUUAUCUUUUGGGCUGGAUUACAUUUUAUUUUACCUUGUAGUUUGACUCAAUUUGUAUGAACUCUAUUUUUUUAUGUUAUAUAUUUUUGUUGUUCAACA